rnacentral:lncRNA from 1 species
AGACUCCUUGGGUAUUUGGACCACUGCACCGAAGAUACCAUCUCUCCGGAUUGCCUCUCCCUGAGCUCCAGACACCAUGAACCUUCCUUCUACAAAGGUUCCCUGGGCCGCCGUGACGCUGCUGCUGCUGCUACUGCUGCCGCCGGCGCUGCUGUCGCUUGGGGUGGACGCGCAGCCUCUGCCCGACUGCUGUCGCCAGAAGACGUGUUCCUGCCGUCUCUACGAACUGUUGCACGGAGCUGGCAACCACGCCGCGGGCAUCCUCACUCUGGGAAAGCGGCGACCUGGACCCCCAGGCCUCCAAGGACGGCUGCAGCGCCUCCUUCAGGCCAACGGGACCAAUACUGAGAGGUCCUGGAAAACUGCUCAACGGCACAGAAUCCAACUGGCAAGGGCUGGAUGUAAUGCUCCAGAAGAGGCAAGGCACAUGAGCUUUCCUGAGGAGCCUCCCAGAGCAUCUGUAGUGUGGCCCACUGUACUGUGGAUUGUGAGCAAUGCCACACUGG